GAUUGGCCUGUCUAUCAUUUUUAAAAGGCUGCGGUAUAUUAACUGUACAAAGGUAGCAAAAUAAAUAGUUUUUUAAUUGAAAACUUGAAUGAAAGAGUUAAUAAAAUAUAAAUUGUUUCAAAUAUAUAAUUUAAAUUAAAAGUAAAAAUGCUUUUAUUAUUUUAUUAGACGAUAAGACCCUAAGAAUUUGAUUAUUUUUUUUAUUUUGAAAAAUUUAUUUAAAUUAGAUUAUUUUAUUGGGAGGAUAAUAAAAUUAAACUUUUAUUUUAAAAAAUAUAUAUUAAUAAAUUUAAUGAUUAUUUUUAAGAUUAUUAGAAUAAAUUACCUUAGGGAUAACAGCGUUAUAAUUUUGGAGAGUUCAUAUUGAUAAAAUUGUUUGCGACCUCCAUGUUGAAUUAAAAUAAAAUUUAAAUGAUCUGAGUCAA
rnacentral:rRNA from 1 species